AAUGAGGGAGGAGGGCCUCUACCAAGGCGGUGGUGCGCCACCCAAGGCAACAGCGAUGCAUUUCCCGAGGUGGUAGUGGCUCGGCCAACUCGUUGCAGGCGCACAGGCCUCAUGCCGGACGUGUAGGGGCUAAGCGCGCUGAGUGCCGCGUGCGUAGGCCUAUUGCGCACGGGGUCUAUCUGCGUAGGCCUACCGUACGAAUGGCGCGUGCACAAUGUGUAGCAUUUGUCCACGCACGAGGUGACGCGCGGACGCCCACAUGCGUGCGACAAAACGUGCACGCAGGUCCUAACCUCGCAUCGUGCGCGCAUAAGGGACAUGCGUAUUAUGCGCAUGUCCCAUGCAUGCGUGCAUGCGGAUGGGACGUGCAAACAGCGUGCAUGUCCCACAGCCACUGUGCGUGCAUGCACAUGCGCAAAGUGCCCAACACCCACAAGGGCAACCAGACUUCACGCACGUUUCUUCCCCCAGGAAUUUUUUCCGUUUCACCGUUUUUCAAUUUUUUUCUAAAUUUUCAUUUUCAAUUUAACUUAG
rnacentral:lncRNA from 1 species